rnacentral:tRNA from 1 species
AAANUCCGUNGACUUUAAAAAUCGUGAGGGUUCAAGUCCCUCUAUCCCCA